UACUCUCACACUCUCCGAUCCUGUGGAUUUGGGGAGCGGUGGACUUGGGUGCUUGCUGCUUUCCUUGUGGCUCACCUCAAAUGCGUCAGUGCAUCUCUUGGUUGGACAUAGUACGGCGUGAUAAGUGUCUUCGCCGGCGCCUCAUCAUAAGAGGGUGGCCAAUUGGGAGCUCUGUGCUUUCCAACUGUCUUCGGACACUCUCUGACAAC
rnacentral:misc_RNA from 1 species